rnacentral:misc_RNA from 1 species
GAAAUGCGAUAAGUAAUGUGAAUUGCAGAAUUCAGUGAAUCAUCGAAUCUUUGAACGCACCUUGCGCCCUUUGGUAUUCCGAAGGGCAUGCCUGUUUGAGUGUCAUGAAAUCUCAAUCUUUAAGGUUUCUUAUUGAUUGGACUUGGAUGUUGCCAUUGGCUCGUCUUAAAAGUGUUAGCGGACUUGGAAGCUACUCUGGUGUAAUACGUUUCGCUGGUGGAUGCUUUCCGACUGCUUAUAACCUGUCUCUGACAUCUUUGCUCUGACCUCAAAUCAGGUAGGACUACCCGCUGAACUUAA